UUAUAUUACACAAAUAUUCCACAAUAUAAAUGAGUGUAACACAUCUUAAACUAAUAUUCCACAACAGUAGGUUUUGGAACUGAGAAGUGUGGGAAUUGAUAAGGAAGGAUAUUGAUGGACUGUUAUUCAGUUAUCUGCUUUUUCUAGUGAUAACUAUUACUGAGAUGAACAUCAUGUACUUAAAUCUAACGUUAAGGUAUUGUUAGGUAAAAGCUAUUUUGGUUUUAUGGUAAUUUUACUUUCUCUGGAACAUUUUUAGUUUGCCUGUGUUUUGAAGACAAGUGCUAAUUAAUUGCUGUUAGGAUGUAUGUCUUUUAUAGCACAGAUUUUAGAAUUCUAAUAUAAUCUCUUAUGCCAGUUCUGCCACAUAUCUUGAAUAAAUUAAACUUUCAACCUCAAUAUGUCUACCUAAUACCAACCUCAGUGGAAUAUGAAAAAUUAGAAGAGUGACUGAUACAUAAAAUUAGUUAAUCCUGAAAUAAUUAUUAGUUUCAUAUUUUCCUUCCUUGGGGUGUGAAAUUGGGGGAAACAGUUAUUCAUCACAGACACUAAGUCCUGAUGAUUAGGAGAGUCUGUUAUCACAGGAUAGCGUAACUGCUGACUGGCUUACCCUUGAAAGUAGAGUCUGACUUAGGUUGAUAAGUGGCUGAAGAAGAAUGCGUGUGAAUGAGCUUGGAUGAACAGGUUGGGGUGCCCACAUCUGGGGAUGUGUAAAGUCUUGUGCUGGGUUUGAACCCAGGGGAAGGGGACAGGUUAGAGAGAGGAUAGCUUUGCUCAAACUACCAUUUUCUGCUGAAGAGAAUGUUAUUAAGGUUUGUGGCUGUGAGUAAAGAUGUCCACAGAAGCAAGAAGAGUCUUGGACCUGGAGUUACAUGCAGUUGCUCUUCUGACUUGAUAGCCUGUCUGUUGCGGUAUACUGAAAGGAAGAAAAAAGAAAGGACAUAUUUUAUGGAAGCAUGGAAAGAGAGCUGCCUGGCAAGCACAUAGUCAAUAAACUUUCGGGAAGCUUCCAGAAAAAUUUAGGAGUAAUUCUUUGUUAGACUUAUAAACUAGGUUAGGCUACCUUGGUGAUUUUCUGAUCCUUUUGUAGCCAUAGACUCUGUAGUUUGCAUACAGUCUUAGGUAGAGCGCCUGUCCAUGAAGAAGAUGAAAGCAGAGUGCUUGCUGAGACGGGACUGAGGGGGUUUUUCUCUCUGUUU